rnacentral:rRNA from 1 species
AACGUGCCUAUUAGUGGGGGAUAACUGUGGGAAACUGCAGCUAAUACCGCAUAAGAUCUACGGAUGAAAAGUCGCUCGCAAGGGCGAUUGCUAAUAGAUCGGCCCAUGUCCCAUUAGCUUGUUGGUAGGGUAAAAGCCCACCAAGGCAUCGACGGGUAGCUGGUCUUAGAGGACGACCAGCCACACUGGAACUGAGACACGGUCCAGACACCUACGGGUGGCAGCAGUCGAGAAUCUUUCACAAUGGGGGCAACCCUGAUGGAGCGACGCCGCGUGGAG